UGGGGAAUAUUGGACAAUGGGCGAAAGCCUGAUCCAGCCAUGCCGCGUGUGUGAAGAAGGUCUUCGGAUUGUAAAGCACUUUAAGUUGGGAGGAAGGGCAUUAACCUAAUACGUUAGUGUUUUGACGUUUCCGACAGAAUAAGCACCGGCUAACUCUGUGCCAGCAGCCGCGGUAAUACAGAGGGUGCAAGCGUUAAUCGGAAUUACUGGGCGUAAAGCGCGCGUAGGUGGUUUGUUAAGUUGGAUGUGAAAUCCCCGGGCUCAACCUGGGAACUGCAUUCAAAACUGACUGACUAGAGUAUGGUAGAGGGUGGUGGAAUUUCCUGUGUAGCGGUGAAAUGCGUAGAUAUAGGAAGGAACACCAGUGGCGAAGGCGACCACCUGGACUAAUACUGACACUGAGGUGCGAAAGCGUGGGGAGCAAACA
rnacentral:rRNA from 1 species